UCUCAAAAGUGUUUUCUAAAAUGAUGAAAUAAACGGUGGGGUUCUGUCUAUGGUGGGAUUGUCAGUUUAUUAGGUGAGUAUUUUCCAAGGUCUCAGUUUGUGAAAAAAUGGUGCUAUGUACAAGUGGAGUUUGUUGGGAUAGACAAUCACUUACAAAGCCCAGAUGGCCAGAAGGGAAUUGGUGUUGCUCCUUUCACUUGUAUGGUUGAGCAGAUUUGUCACAUGCCACAAAACCAUUCUUUGUAGUCAUGCUUAGUAUGAGCUUGCUUUGUUGUUACGGUCAUGUUCUUUCCAGCCCUGCCCCAGCUAUGAAUUGUCUAAGUGUGAGGGAGCAUCAGAGCUUCAGUAUUGUUUAAAGAAUGUAGAAAAAUACAAAUUUGUCUAAUUUUGAAACUAUUUUAGAAAGUCCCUACUGUAGAAAGAGCUAAACUCAAAGACUUUCCUUGUAAGUGAAAGAAAAAAACUGCUGAUGAUUACCAAGAGGCGUAAGAAAAUUAGGUGAGGGAAUGUUGUGCUCUAGCCUGUGGGGUGCAGCUUCGUAGGGCACAUCAGCUUAGAAUGGUCUGGCCUCACCUCAGAGAGUCACAGAAAUAGACAAAAACCCAAAAAGUACUAGUAAAGUAAAUACAAGGAACAAAAUAAACAUUAAUAAAAAUGAAUGACGCAAAGGUGAUCCAGAAUCAUUACUUGCUCCAACAGCUAGAUCAAAGGCUGAACAUUUUGCUUUAGUAUAGAUGAGGGAAAUGAGCAAGUCCUAAAAGGUUUGCCCUGUUACGGUGUUUCAUCACUCAUACUGGAAGGAGAAGGAAAGGAGCCAUAUGACUCAUUUAAAAGAAAAACUGAUCUGACACAUCCUCUUGGUUUCCUAAGUCUUAUGACUAGCCAAUGCCUGAAAUAAUGAACUCCUCCAAGGCAAGAAAUCUGUUUUGAAGCUUCUCUGCGUUCACACACAGCAGCCUGGUUUCCUGGAAGGGCAUUUUCCACAUUGUGCGUUAUGGAUGAUCAUCCCAGGCAUCAGGUGUGAAGCCCUGCAUCCACAUCCAGGGGCUAUCAAAUCUCUCUGCAAAAGGAGAAGCUGGACUCAGGCACGUUUACAGUGAUGUGUAUGCAGGGUAUGCACAGAUGUGGAAACAGGAACUGAUGUGUCCAUUACACCACUAGGACAGAGGCCAGAACAAUGAAGAAACCAAAUACUUGGAAGAGGGUAGAGAUAAUGAAUGGAGUCCAAGAGCCCUGAUUGUGCCAUAAAUGUCCAGAUAAUUCCAUACCUGAGGAUUAUGUGGUUUGUAAACUUGGCACUUAGAAGAACCAAUAAAAUCAUGUUAUAGUUUCAACCGGGUCUAGUUACCUUUCCUCUUAGUUGUGACUGUCUAUAUCCUAACUGACACAGGCUCUCGUGCCAUGUCUAAUACUAAGGCAUCCAUGGCAAGCGCUUUUCCAGUAGCACUAGGGAAC
rnacentral:lncRNA from 1 species